AGGGUUUGAUUAUGGCUCAGGAUGAACGCUAGCUACAGGCUUAACACAUGCAAGUCGAGGGGCAGCAUGAUUGAAGCUUGCUUCAAUUGAUGGCGACCGGCGCACGGGUGAGUAACGCGUAUCCAACCUUCCGUACACUCAGGGAUAGCCUUUCGAAAGAAAGAUUAAUACCUGAUGGUAUGAUGAGAUUGCAUGAUAGCAUCAUUAAAGAUUUAUCGGUGUACGAUGGGGAUGCGUUCCAUUAGGUAGUAGGCGGGGUAACGGCCCACCUAGCCUACGAUGGAUAGGGGUUCUGAGAGGAAGGUCCCCCACAUUGGAACUGAGACACGGUCCAA
rnacentral:rRNA from 1 species